ACGCGGUGUGGAGGGGGGAGGCAUUUUCGGUGUGUUAAACUCCUGUGAUAUGGGAAGAUAACUACGGUACCCAUAUGAAUAAGCACCGGCUAACUCCGUGCCAGCAGCCGCGGUAAUACGGAGGGGGCAAGCGUUACUCGGAAUCACUGGGCGUAAAGCGCGCCGCAGAGCGGCCUUUUAAGUUGGAUGUGAAAGCCUAUGGCUCAACCAUAGAACUGCAUCCAAAACUAUCAGGCUAGAGUGUGGGAGAGGAAGAUGGAAUUAGUUGUGUAGGGGUAAAAUCCGUAGAGAUAACUAGGAAUACCAAAAGCGAAGGCAAUCUUCUGGAACAUUACUGACGUUGAGGCGCGAAAGCGUGGGGAGCAAACAGGAUUAGAUACCCUGGUAGUCCACGCCCUAAA
rnacentral:rRNA from 1 species